rnacentral:rRNA from 1 species
UACGUAGGAGGCAAGCGUUGUCCGGAGUUACUGGGCGUAAAGCGCACGCAGGCGGUUCAGUCAGUCUGUAGGGACAGGGCACAGCUCAACUGUGUCAGGCUUACGGAAACUGCUGAACUUGAGGGCUUCAGAGGGAUGGGGAAUUCCGGGUGGAGUGGUGAAAUUCGUAGAUAUUGGGAAGAACACCGGUGGCGAAGGCGGCGCUCUGGACCGAGACUGACGCUGAGGCGCGAAAGCCAGGGGAGCAAACGGG